rnacentral:rRNA from 1 species
UGCAAGUCGAGCGGAUGAGAGGAGCUUGCUCUUCGAUUCAGCGGCGGACGGGUGAGUAAUGCCUAGGAAUCUGCCUAGUAGUGGGGGACAACGUUUCGAAAGGAACGCUAAUACCGCAUACGUCCUACGGGAGAAAGUGGGGGAUCUUCGGACCUCACGCUAUUAGAUGAGCCUAGGUCGGAUUAGCUAGUUGGUAGGGUAAAGGCCUACCAAGGCGACGAUCCGUAACUGGUCUGAGAGGAUGAUCAGUCACACUGGAACUGAGACACGGUCCAGACUCCUACGGGAGGCAGCAGUGGGGAAUAUUGGACAAUGGGCGAAAGCCUGAUCCAGCCAUGCCGCGUGUGUGAAGAAGGCCUUCGGGUCGUAAAGCACUUUAAGUUGGGAGGAAGGGCUCAUAGCGAAUACCUGUGAGUUUUGACGUUACCAACAGAAUAAGCACCGGCUAACUUCGUGCCAGCAGCCGCGGUAAUACGAAGGGUGCAAGCGUUAAUCGGAAUUACUGGGCGUAAAGCGCGCGUAGGUGGCUUGAUAAGUUGGAUGUGAAAUCCCCGGGCUCAACCUGGGAACUGCAUCCAAAACUGCCUGGCUAGAGUGCGGUAGAGGGUAGUGGAAUUUCCAGUGUAGCGGUGAAAUGCGUAGAUAUUGGAAGGAACACCAGUGGCGAAGGCGACUACCUGGACUGACACUGACACUGAGGUGCGAAAGCGUGGGG